rnacentral:lncRNA from 1 species
CUAGUGGGUGUUGGUUUUCUCUUCUGAAUUGUUUUACACUGAUCAUUAUGGGGCCCUUCAAAUUAUGGCUUCCUGUAGUUUUUGUAACAAGUUUUCGAGAUGAAAUGGCAUUGAAAAAACAAAACAAGAAAUUUGAGAGUUUGUACUUAUUGUAAAUUUUAUAAUCUAUCAAUGGAUUUUGGUUCUGAUUGAGGGUAGAUUAAUUGUUGUUUUUUUUUUCUUUU